rnacentral:tRNA from 1 species
GGGGCCAUGGUACAGUGGUAGAACGGCGCUUUCGCAUGGCGCAGACGGCGGUCCGAUUCCGCUUGGCUCCA